GAUGAACGCUGGCGGCGUGCCUAGUACAUGCAAGUCGAGCGAAUGGAUUAAGAGCUUGCUCUUAUGAAGUUAGCGGCGGACGGGUGAGUAACACGUGGGUAACCUGCCCAUAAGACUGGGAUAACUCCGGGAAACCGGGGCUAAUACCGGAUAACAUUUUGAACCGCAUGGUUCGAAAUUGAAAGGCGGCUUCGGCUGUCACUUAUGGAUGGACCCGCGUCGCAUUAGCUAGUUGGUGAGGUAACGGCUCACCAAGGCAACGAUGCGUAGCCGACCUGAGAGGGUGAUCGGGCACACUGGGACUGAGACACGGCCCAGACUCCUACGGGAGGCAGCAGUAGGGAAUCUUCCGCAAUGGACGAAAGUCUGACGGAGCAACGCCGCGUGAGUGAUGAAGGCUUUCGGGUCGUAAAACUCUGUUGUUAGGGAAGAACGAGUGCUAGUUGAAUAAGCUGGCACCUUGACGGUACCUAACCAGAAAGCCACGGCUAACUACGUGCCAGCCGCCGCUGUAA
rnacentral:rRNA from 1 species